UACGUAGGGUGCAAGCGUUGUCCGGAAUUAUUGGGCGUAAAGAGCUCGUAGGCGGUUUGUUGCGUCGGCUGUGAAAUCCCGAGGCUCAACCUCGGGUCUGCAGUCGAUACGAGCAAACUAGAGUGUUGCAGGGGAGACUGGAAUUCCUGGUGUAGCGGUGAAAUGCGCAGAUAUCAGGAGGAACACCGGUGGCGAAGGCGGGUCUCUGGGCAACAACUGACGCUGAGGUGCGAAAGCGUGGGGAGCGAACAGG
rnacentral:rRNA from 1 species